rnacentral:rRNA from 1 species
UACGUAGGGUGCGAGCGUUGUCCGGAAUUAUUGGGCGUAAAGAGCUUGUAGGCGGUUUGUCGCGUCUGCUGUGAAAUCUCAAGGCUCAACCUUGAGCUUGCAGUGGGUACGGGCAGACUAGAGUGUGGUAGGGGAGACUGGAAUUCCUGGUGUAGCGGUGAAAUGCGCAGAUAUCAGGAGGAACACCGAUGGCGAAGGCAGGUCUCUGGGCCAC